UCGACCCAGGGAAGCUAAACGAACGCAUCCAGUAAAGGCCUAGAGUAUUAGUUUUGGCCUAGAGUAUUAGUUUUGGCCUAGAGUAUUAGUUUUGGCCUAUAGAUAUAAGACUAACUCUCUACUCUUUCAACAGGUUUUGAUGGAGAUGAGUUAAGUAUAAGGUGUGACUGGCGUAGUACUUAGUCUUGAUUUCAAGACGCUCAAUCUAAUUUCAUUUGCGGUGACAUAACUCACCCAAGGACAGUAAAACAAGAUCCAAACAAAAUAAUGUCUUGAACCAAAACUAAAAACUUAGUCUCGUUUCAAGAUGUUCAAUCUCAUUUUAUUUGCGGUGCAACAACUGACAAUGGACGGUAAACACACUAUCCUAAAAAAAGAGUACAAGAUAGUGUCUUGAACCAAAACUAAGAACUACGCUGUCUUAAGUAAACGCAGAGCUUGAAGAUGGAGACUCUCCCUUCGAUGUUCCUGAGUGACUAGAGGUCAAUGAGGCCAGCAGCUUGGAGCAAAGGUUGGAGCAAAGUAUCGGGUAUAAGUAUUGGUAUAAGUGGGACAGAAAAAUAACCCCUCCCCUCCACGGCUCUUACAUUUUCUACACAUUAUAUGAGAUUUAACAUUUAUUUUCCACAUCCACUGACCGGCUUCCAGGCCAUAGUUUCUUUUGUUUGUUUUCCAGAGUCUGGACCCGUUCCUCCUGAAAAAGAUGUUGUGGCAGAUGACGUGCAGACGAAGCAGUCCUGAAACUCCCUUUGAUGUUGCCGAUUCAUGACCUGAUGUCACUGGGUUUGAUGAGGUCUUUGCAGCAAAGGUUUAUAAGUAUCAUAUUGAGUUACAUCAGCUGAGGAAGAACUUUGCCAGUUAAAGCUCUGUGACUUUUUGCUACAACUUCAACCGUUCAAGAUAGCGAUGACCAGCACUAUUGGACCAGAGCAAAGAGUCACAAACAUCAUUUUGGUUGAGUUGAUGAUCUUGGAGAUGACAUUUGGGCUCAUCAUAACUUUUUCGACCGAGUGCACCAGCUGAAGAAGGACUGCGUCAAAUCUAGCUACCUGACUCUCUGCUACAAGUUCAACCGUUCAAGUGACGAAGGGAUGUUGUCCGGGGAUUUAACCACCACUUUUUGGACUGAACAGCUGAAGAUCUGGGUCAUAGUUCAAGUAUCAAAGAGACAAUAAUAAUGAUAGAACACUUCUUAGAACAAACUCUCCUCCAAAGGUGAUUUUACACAUGGUUGUACCAUGGAACUUUACUAGUUGUAGUCAAUGAUUGAUUUCCACACCAUGCUAAGCUUCAAUGCUUUUUGGACCGUCACUGACUGAUGAAAGACUGUGUCAAGUCUAGGUGAUCACCCACACGCUCAACUAACACGAGCUGGACGAUGAGGGCGCCUGCUAUGAUGACGCUUGAGUGGAGGACCACAUACAUGAAGAACCAUAGGACCAGGGCCAAUUUCAUAGAGCUGCUUAACCAGAAAAUAUUGCUUAACAACUUUCUGCUAACAGAAAUGAGAAGGA